rnacentral:rRNA from 1 species
GUGGGGAAUCUUAGACAAUGGGGGAAACCCUGAUCUAGCCAUGCCGCGUGAGCGAUGAAGGCCUUAGGGUUGUAAAGCUCUUUCAGCUGGGAAGAUAAUGACGGUACCAGCAGAAGAAGCCCCGGCUAACUCCGUGCCAGCAGCCGCGGUAAUACGGAGGGGGCUAGCGUUGUUCGGAAUUACUGGGCGUAAAGCGCGCGUAGGCGGACCAGAAAGUUGGAGGUGAAGUCCCAGGGCUCAACCUUGGAACUGCCUUCAAAAAUCGUGGUCUGGAGUUCGAGAGAGGUGAGUGGAAUUCCGAGUGUAGAGGGGAAAUUCGUAGAUAUUCGGAGGAACACCAGUGGCGAAGGCGGAUUACUGGACGACAACUGACGGUGAGGCGCGAAAGCGUGGGGAGCAAACAGGAUUAGAAACCCUAGUAGUCC